rnacentral:rRNA from 1 species
CAGUCGUACCUGCGGAUAAUCAGCUUUUUGAGUGUGAUUAUGUGGGUUAUGAGGAGUUUAACCGCCUUCACGUAUUGCAUAUUUGUGCUCUUGGGUGUACUUGUCUGUGUGGUAGGUUAACAUCAAUUUCGGUCGUCAUAAAAUGAUUGGAGGAAUGUAGCUUUGAUCUCGUAUCGAAGUGUUAAAGACUCUGGUAGAUGUGACGAUUGGGAUUGGAGGAUUGCAACGGAUACCCCUUUGGGGGCUACCCGUCUGAUCUCUGAAGGUUGCUCCGGUGCCGAAAGCGU